UUCGCUUCCGUUUUUAUAUUUUCCCCAUAGUUUUAUUUUCGGAUUUCUCUCGUUGCGGAAGUGGGAAAGAAUCGACAGAAGGCAGCGAGAAGAGAACACGAGAGAAGAAAAAUAGUUCUCGAGAACAAUCGGGUUUCGGUGGAUCGAUCUCGUCGUCUGUUGAAAGGGUUUCGAAAAAGAGGGGCUGCCAUGAGAUUCAAGAAGGGGAACAAGGUGGAGGUUUGGAGCCCGAGGGAGGUUCCGUCAGGCUCAUGGCGGAGUGCCGAGAUCAUCUCGGGCAAUGGGCAUUACUAUACUGUGAGAUAUGAUGGGUAUCCGAUGGACGGCAGUGUGGCAGUGGACAGAGUGCCAAGGAAAGCUAUCAGACCCUGCCCUCCACCUGCUGGAACCCUGAAGGAUUCAACAUCUGGUGAUGUUGUUGAAGUUUUCGACAACAAUUCAUGGAAGCUCGCUGAGAUAUUGGUAGUUGUUGAUAAGAAAUACUGUUCUGUUAGGCUCCUUGGAUCCUCCAGGGAGAUCAGAGCCCACAAAUCUCUCUUAAGGAGACGGCUGUCUUGGCAAGACAACAAGUGGGUGAUGAUUCAUAAGGAUUCUGGAGUACAAAAUGGUGCAAUGCUAAGCAGUCUGUCAAGAGGAGGAAAGUCCAGUUACCACUUGCCUCAGUCAUGUGUGGAGAUAGAUAAUUCUGCUGGAAAGAGCCUUUUUCCUAUUGAAAAUUAUGAUUUUCCUGAGAAAGCUAGACGAUUCCUCUCAAGAGAAACAAAGAAAAGGCCAUUUGAUAUAUAUAUUCCUGCUGAGAAGUGCAAUGAUGUUAGAAGAAAGACAAGGGCAACCGAAAAAAAUGGGAUGGAUCAAAGAAUAUCUACUGAGCACCCAAUACAUUGUCUGGAAAAGGGUCAAAGUUGGAGGCUUCUAAGCUUUGCUUCCUUAUGUCUCUGAUGAUGGAGUUGUCAUGGCUUUUUACACUUCAAACAGUGUGGCAAAACUUCCAUCUUAUUCCUAUGAAUAUGUCAGUAUAUUUGAUUAUUGGUACUUUUAUUUCUGUUAUAUCUUCCUAUUUCAGGCUUAUUUUCUGCCUGUAAUACAUGCAUGAUGCAAGGAAGUUAACCAGAAAUAUAUUAAGAAAAUCUUUACAAGUGAAACUGUUAAUUUAAGCCUUCUAUCCUAUCUAUAUUUGAUCUUUAAUAAACUUGUUGAUUCUGUGCAUAAUGCCUGUUAUUAGUAAACAUAUGUAUGUUCCAUGGCGUACUUAUAAUUGUGGUCUACUUGUUGCUGUAAUAUGGAUUACAAGCAAAACGUAGUCUAUAAAAAUAUAUCCUUGCUGCUUAUUUUACACUGGAGACUAAGCUAUGAACAUGACACGACAGUUCAUGCAAAACUUGUUUGACAUGGAAUUCCAAAAAUGUAAAAUUAAGAAUGAGGUAUCAGUUAUGUUUGUAUAGCGUCUGUGUAUUAAUUCCAACUGUUUGUUUUUUAGGUAAUGCAAAUCAUAGGUAGAAUCAUCAAUAUGCAAUUCGUGUUUGGGUAAAGUCACAGUAUGAUAUUUGAAUUAGCCACUGCUGGCAUAUUCUCAAAUAUUUUGUAUCAUCUUUGCAAGAUUAGCAUUUUGACAUGAACUAACUCGUGAUGAGAAAUGAGCAAUGUCUAAUCCUUAGUGAGAGCUGAAUUAUUAGUCUAGACUCAGUGAAUUAGAUUUAUUUACUUGAAUCUUAUUUCUUUAGUUGCCAUUUCUCUUGGAAUAGCUUUUACUCGUGGACAUCAUAUAAUCAUUGAAGUUUCUUGUUUCCCACAGUGUGUGUGUGCGGCAUGAGGCCAUCUUCAUCCCCUAAAAUGAGUUUGGAGUACUUGGAUUGGGUCCAGGAUAACCAUCGCUGUCUUGACAUGUUUUCCUCUUCCCAUUAUCCUAUUUAUUAUCUUUUCACCUUUGCAUAAUAAGCCUUAAAGCUCUGGAAACCUAUAAUACAGCCUUUUGUCUUGUUGCUAUAAUAUCUUCAACCUAGUCUUCCACGUACAUUUACCAACCAACAAGCAUUAUAUGCUUAAUAGCCUCCACAGAAGUGUUGUUAUCCAACACUUCACUCUUGCCCUUAAACAAUCAAACAAGGCCUAAAUUGUUGAACAUUAGGUGACACUCGUAUGAUAAAGUUUUCAAUCAGAGCAACCUCAUCAAUCAACUAGGGCUUUUGGAGAAGUGUUGCAUCAGUGAUAUUUCUCUAUUCACAAGCUCUAGAAAUCUUCUGAACAUUGCUUUACUUAUAUUUCCAUUGCUGAAAUUAUUUUUAUAUAUACAGAUGGAUACGUGUCUUGUCUUGCAUAGCAUGAUUGCACAAACUGGUUAUGUGAAACUGUCCUGUAUCCGGCAAAAGAAAAGGUCAAUGUUCUUAAUUAUUUUAAUACUAACCAGAAUUUCAUUUUCUUAAUUAUUUUAAUACAAACCAGAAUUUCAUUUCAAGUCAGCCGUUUAAUUGUGUAUGCAUUAUUUUAAUUUAUGAAUAUUAUAUAUUUUCAUAAUCUGCAUUUUACUACUUUGAUUUUACUUUUCUCUAAACAAUUGGUUACAUAUGGUUGAAGAGUAACAUGAACAGAUAGGUGGUGAGCUUCCAACAAGUCUGCUUCUGGGAAAAACAGUCAUGAAUUUUGUAAUGGAUUAAGUCUUAUCAAAUAAUAUUUUUCUUCAAAUGACAUGCAAGUUCUUUCCACCUCUGCAUUCUUGCAAUAGUUAGCAUAAAGGAAAUUCAAUAGUUAUUAUUUUCAGCAGUUUAUAUGUUGAAACACUAUUUUCUGAAUUAAUUCUGGAACUAUUGUUUGCUUAUUCUAAUUAUUAUUAUUUUGAGGCCUCUUUGUCAACUAGGUAUCAUAGACUUUGUUGCUUCAAUUAGGGAAGAUAUCAUAAAAUGAGUUAGCCACAAACCGGGAGCAUGAUGGUGAUUGUUGGAAUCAUGCAUUUGCUGCUGGGUUGAUCAUGCAUUUGUUGCUGGGUUGAUCAACUGUUGUAGGUAUGGACUGUCGACCUAGAUUAGGAACCAAAUCAUGAGUAAUUUAUAAAUAAUGCAUCAUGGAGUAUAUACAUACACCAAAAUGAAGAUGACUGAUCUCCACUAGACAAGUUGUUCUUGUAGCUACCUUAGUGGUAUAACCCAUUCUUACAGAUCCUGAUUUAAAUGUUUUUCAUGCUGACUUUUGUUAAUUUGAUUUGCUGUAACCAAUAGUAACUAGUUAAGAAUGUCUGCAGUUACUCAGAGAAUGCUCUUAUGACCAUUUCCAUUGCAGAGCCUGAUAUAAUUGUGCACAUAUAAUGCUAAAGUCUUUCAUUAUGGUCUGAUAACAAGGCAGUUUUUUAUGUUAACAUAUAGUAACUUGCAAGAUUAAGGAUCAUCUGCAGGUGCUCAGAACGCUGGGAGUACGCUCUAAUGCCUGAAGUUUGAAGGAAUCUGAUUUGAUUUUUGACAUAUGACAUAAAGAUGUUAUAGCAAGCACGAGGUGAACUAGUGUUGCGAUCAUGGAAAAUUGUAAUCUGCAGACCAAAAAAUUUCGACAUGCUAGUUGCUGGAGCAAAUAUGUUUGGAGUUGCACUAGCACUUGAUGGCUUCUUCUACUUGCCAAUAUCAAAUAUGGUUUAUGAUCAAAUCUGAGUAGCCCUAGUUAUAAAAGCUCUAGAUGUGAAGUAUUAUUGAGUUCCUGUAGAAACCUGUUUGUAUCCAUGGGAAGUGUGCAUACAUCUAUUUCAUCCUUUUGUAGUAGACUUGAACUCUGUGGUCGAUCUAAAUCUGUGAGCUUCCAUGGAUGUGCAAUUGUAAAGGACUUCUCGGGCAUGGGAACUGCAUCUCAAAAUGAUGAAUAGUAGCUAUCUAAAUUUGUACUGUUUCUAGGUCACUGCAGUGUUCUAUGUUCUGAUUCCAGGAAUUCCAAUAUGAUUCAGGACAGUGAUGUGUUGUGGCUUU